rnacentral:rRNA from 1 species
AGAGUUUGAUCAUGGCUCAGGACGAACGCUGGCGGUGCGCCUUAUGCAUGCAAGUCGAGCGAAGCUUUUCAGUAGUUUACUACAGAAAAUGACUGAGCGGCGAACGGGUGAGUAACGCGUGAGCAAUCUACCUUAGUUACAGGGAUAGCCCGAGGAAACUCGGAUUAAUACCUGAUAUUCUUUAUAUUUCGCAUGAAAUUAAAAGGAAAGGUCAGCCGAACUAAGAUGAGCUCGCGUUCUAUCAGCUAGUUGGUGAGGUAAAAGCUCACCAAGGCUACGACGGAUAGCUGGUCUGAGAGGACGAUCAGCCACACUGGGACUGAGACACGGCCCAGACUCCUACGGGAGGCUGCAGCAGGGAAUAUUGCGCAAUGAGCGAAAGCUUGACGCAGCGACACCGCGUGUGGGAUGACGGAUCUAGGUUUGUAAACCACUUUCAGGAGGGAAGAAAAUGACGGUACCUCCACAAGAAGCCCCGGCCAACUACGUGCCAGCAGCCGCGGUAAUACGUAGGGGGCGAGCGUUGUCCGGAUUUAUUGGGCGUAAAGAGCUCGUAGGCGGUUCAACAAGUCGGUCGUGAAAGUUCAGGGCUCAACCCUGAAAUGUCGAUCGAUACUGUUGUGACUAGGAUACGGUAGAGGUGAGUGGAAUUCCGAGUGUAGCGGUGAAAUGCGUAGAUAUUCGGAGGAACACCAAUUGCGAAGGCAGCUCACUGGGCCGCUAUUGACGCUGAGGAGCGAAAGCUAGGGGAGCAAACAGGAUUAGAUACCCUGGUAGUCCUAGCUGUAAACGAUGGAUACUAGACGUAGGAACUGGAUUGACGGUUUCUGUGUCGCAGCUAACGCGUUAAGUAUCCCGCCUGGGGAGUACGGUCGCAAGACUAAAACUCAAAGGAAUUGACGGGACCCCGCACAAGCGGCGGAGCAUGCGGCUUAAUUCGAUGAUACCCGUAGAACCUUACCUGGACUUGACAUAUAGGGUCUAGCUAUAGAGAUAUAGUGUGCAUUAGCGCCCUAUACAGGUGGUGCAUGGCUGUCGUCAGCUCGUGUCGUGAAAUGUUGGGUUAAGUCCCGCAACGAGGGCAACCCCUGUCCUAUGUUGCCAGCAUUUAGUUGGGGACUCUAAGGAACUGCCCGGGGAAAAACCGGAAGAAAGGGGGGGCCCAGUAUUUGGAUCUGAGCCCCGUGAAGCUAAGGGCGGAGAAGCUGUAUCUUAGGGGAAGGGUU